rnacentral:ncRNA from 2 species
UAUAGUGACCCAGCCUAUGGUGCCCGGAAGGGUUUUAGAGGGAAUGCGGUGCGACGAAUUCUAUCGUUUAACCCGCGGCUGCCCCCGCAACUGUAAGCGGAAAGUCUUUGCCCAAAACGGCCGUUCGGCCGUCAAGCCACUGGAGAAAUCCGGGAAGGCGGGUAAAGGCGUCCGAUCCGCGAGCCAGGAGACCUGCCAGAGGCGGCAAAGAACG